rnacentral:lncRNA from 1 species
GUGUAAUGUUGUCAUUUUAAUGUUAUAAUUAACACUGCCAUUAAAGCAGGAGGUUUGGCAUGCCACAAAACCAGGUUCAACCCACCAUUUUUUUCAUAAAAUGCCCUGUACCAAGUCGGGAAAAUGGCCAUUGUUACAUUAUAGUUCGUUUCUGUGUGUGUUACAUUUCGGUGUUGUGUCUCUGUUGCGUCGUAGUUCUCUUAUAUUUGAUACGUUUCCCUCAGUUUUAGUUUGUAACCCGGAUUUGUUUUUUCUCUAUCGAUUUAUGAAUUUUGAACAGCGGUAUACU